CUCAUCACAGUCUCGAUAUGAAACUGUGUCACAGUUUGGUCUGUUUCAUCUUCAUUCAAGCACUUCAGGAUGGAAACGCUGAUCUUGCUGCUGCUGAAAUUCCCAUCCAUGCAGAAAGGGAGGGAGGAAACAUCACAGUUGCCUGUUCAUUUUCUUUGUCUGGAAGCUUGAGGCUCUUCUGUAAGGAAAAAUGUGAACAAGGAAAAAUUCUCAUUGAAACAACAGAGGACACAGCUCAACGAGGCAGAUACAGCAUUGAAUAUAAAGAAGGAAGCUUUCUAGGAACUAAGACAAUUAUGUAUGCGAGCAUCACAAAGCUGGAAGUGUCUGACUCGGGAGUGUACAGGUGCUCUUUGGGCAGAAUGGGUGUAGAUUUUUUUGAUUCAAACUAUGAAUUUCAGAUCUCUGUCAAAGAAGCCUCCACACCAACAAUGAAGAUGACACCAGAGAGUUCAAACUCCACUGCUACAUCAUCCUCCACUGAAGCUUUCCAACACUUUCCCACCCAACCUGCAAGUUCAGAUCUGCUGCUAUACACGGGUCUGUUUGUGAUUGUCCUGAUCGCCUUCUUAUCAGCAGCUUUGCUGAUUUUCUGCAAGAAGAGAGCCACUAAACCCAUAAGACCUCCAGUAGAAAAUGUGUACUCCAGCAUCAUAGAUGACAACCAGCUGUAUGAAGAGAUCAGAGAGGAGACAUUUCCACAGGAGGUGGAAAUGUCUACAGUUUACACCACUGCCACACGCCCCCAGCCAGAUGGAGUUGAAAGCUCAGAUGACUAAAGCAUCGCCACUUAGAACUUAAAACGGUUUGCUAUGCUUUUCUGAUGGAUCUCUGUCACCCAGGUGCUCUCUAAGCGAAGUGCUCUGCCGUGUUCACAAAUGAAGAUAUGACGUACCACAGCAUCAACCCAGGGGACCGGAACGAAACCUACGCUACACUCACAGAGAUAUCAAAUCUAAAUUACAUAUUGUCUGUGUGUGCCAGCUCAUGCAUGCUUUAAAACAACUCUAAUGACAUGAUGAAUGAGAUGGAUAGGAAAGAUAUACUAAGGAAUAAAGCUAAAAGGAAACAUAUGAGUUAAAAUGGUUAAGUUGUUGUGAUAACUACUCACGAAUGAACCAGCUAAUGUAAAAUAUAGUAAUAUAAUUAUUAUUUGAGACUAUGAUGUUCAAAAAAAUCAAAGGAAAGGAAAUGAACUUAUAAACUUGUAUUAUAAACUUAUAAUUUAUCUAUGGACAUAUAGGAAGGACCAAAUAAAAAAUAUGUAACUAAAUCAAGUCAACAACAAAGGAAAUAAAAUUUGUUUUAUUCUAAAAGUAACUAAAAACACAUUUGUCUGCAUCUUAGUGCUCUAUGUAACAUUCACACUCCACUGACUGCAUCAGGAGCAACUUAAGGCUCAGUACUUUGCCCAAAGAUACUUCAGCAUGUAGUCAGCAUGACUGAAGAAGCUAGGAAUUGAACCACCAAACUCCCAAUUAUUAGAUAUUUGAUUAUUGCUCUACAUCCUGAGCUGCAGGCACCCAGAUGCUUCCAGGCAGAAGAAACUUAGCAAGAAACAAAUGUCAUCAUGAUUUAUUUGUGUGCAUGGCACCACAAGAGGGUGUUCACUAACUUUUCUUUGAUAUGCCAGGUGAUUUCAAAUGCAAUGUUUCCAGUAGGUUAACAAACACCACACACAAUUUCUUUCUGUGUGGUUUGGACCAUAGACCAUCUUUGUGCUAGUUAAAGGUCCAAAAAAAGUAAUAACUUUACUCUUAAAGGCAAAAUAUAUCAGAAAAAAGACACACAGGUGGGAAGAUGAGAGAUCGUCAACGGUAACAAAAGCUCAGCAAGUGACAUUUGAUGCUCUGGAAAUUUAAUGUAUUGUUCUGAAUUAAUUUAGAUUCUUUUCAACUUGACCACACAUGCUUUAUAUUAAGGUUUCUUUCAAACUGAGAAAUGUCUUUGAAAACAAAUUAAAAGAUAAUAAUGUCAUGAUGUUCAGAGUUUAUUGUGCAAUAUGUGCUAGUUGGGCUGGUUUGCAGAGGCAGGCUAUGUUGUACUGGUGAAUGACAGACUGCGAUAUCCACAAUCACUGCCAUGUUAGGUCCUGAUAGCAGAAAGAGACAUUAUAAAAGGAAGACAUGGCACUGAAAGAAUUCUGAAUUGGAAUUUGUGGUAGAUUUUUGUAACCAAAUAAAUGGUUGUAGAUACAAUACAAUUUAUACAGCACGUUUAAAACCAGGGGGUACACCAAAGUGCUUCACAGUAAGGAAUGACGGUAAAUGAUUACACUGGACAGUAAGUCAUUAAAACAAUUUCAGUGAAAACCUCAGUUACAUACAGUGGGGCAAAAAAGUAUUUAGUCAGCCACCGAUUGUGCAAGUUCCCCCACCUAAAAUGAUGACAGAGGUC